rnacentral:rRNA from 1 species
CAGCAGCCGCGGUAAUACGGAGGGUCCGAGCGUUAUCCGGAAUCAUUGGGUUUAAAGGGUCCGUAGGCGGCUUUAUAAGUCAGUGGUGAAAUCCGGCAGCUCAACUGUCGAACUGCCAUUGAUACUGUAGGGCUUGAAUUAUUGUGAAGUAACUAGAAUAUGUAGUGUAGCGGUGAAAUGCUUAGAUAUUACAUGGAAUACCAAUUGCGAAGGCAGGUUACUAACACUACAUUGACGCUGAUGGACGAAAGCGUGGGGAGCGAACAGGAUUAGAUACCCUGGUAGUCCACGCCGUAAACGAUGGAUACUAGCUGUUUGGUUUUCGGACUGAGUGGCUAAGCGAAAGUGAUAAGUAUCCCACCUGGGGAGUACGGGCGCAAGCCUGAAACUCAAAGGAAUUGACGG